rnacentral:rRNA from 1 species
UACGGAUGGUGCAAACGUUGCUCGGAAUCAUUGGGCGUAAGGCGCACGUAGGCGGUCUGAUAAGUCGGAUGUGAAAGCCCUGGGCUCAACCCAGGAAGUGCAUUCGAAACUGCCAGACUUGAAUAUGGAAGAGGGUUGCGGAAUUCCCGGUGUAGAGGUGAAAUUCGUAGAUAUCGGGAGGAACACCAGUGGCGAAGGCGGCAACCUGGGCCAAUAUUGACGCUGAGGUGCGAAAGCGUGGGGAGCAAACGGG